AAGGAGUGUGCGAGCGUUAUUCGGAAUUACUGGGCGUAAAGCGCGUGUAGGCGGUCCCGCAAGUCUGAUGUGAAAGCCCCGGGCUUAACCCGGGAAGUGCAUUGGAAACUGUGGGACUUGAGUAUUGGAGAGGAUGGGGGAAUUCCCGGUGUAGAGGUGAAAUGAGUAUAGAUCGGGAGGAAUAUCAGUGGCGAAGGCGGCCAUCUGGACGGUAACUGAGGCUGAGACGCGAAAGUGUGGGGAGGAAACAG
rnacentral:rRNA from 1 species